rnacentral:misc_RNA from 1 species
AACGGUCUAUACCUGCGGUACCUGCGGAGGGAUCAUUAUAGAGUGGUAAACCCCCCGUAAAAGGGGGGGACCUCCUGUCCUUUGUAGGCUCUUUUUUAAAAGGGCUUUUUUUAAUUUUCUGCUUCGGUGGGGUUAUCCCACCGGAACAACCUCAAAACUCUUAUCAAAAAAUCGUUCUGUCUGAGAACCUUUUAUAAUAAAAAAACUUUCAGCAAUGGAUCUCUAGAUCGGAAGAGCACA